CCUACGGGAGGCAGCAGUGGGGAAUAUUGGACAAUGGGCGAAAGCCUGAUCCAGCCAUGCCGCGUGUGUGAAGAAGGCCUUCGGGUUGUAAAGCACUUUCAGUGGGGAAGAAAGCCUUGGGGCUAAUACCCUCGAGGAAGGACAUCACCCACAGAAGAAGCACCGGCUAACUCCGCUGCCAGCAGCCGCGGUAAUACGGAGGGUGCGAGCGUUAAUCGGAAUUACUGGGCGUAAAGCGCGCGUAGGCGGUCUGAUAAGCCGGUUGUGAAAGCCCCGGGCUCAACCUGGGAACGGCAUCCGGAACUGUCAGGCUAGAGUGCAGGAGAGGAAGGUAGAAUUCCCGGUGUAGCGGUGAAAUGCGUAGAGAUCGGGAGGAAUACCAGUGGCGAAGGCGGCCUUCUGGACUGACACUGACGCUGAGGUGCGAAAGCGUGGGUAGCAAACAGGAUUAGAUACCCCAGUAGUC
rnacentral:rRNA from 1 species